CUGCACUUCAGGCGACAGAGCGAGAGACUGUCUCAAAACAAAAACAAACCAACAAAAAAGGAAAAACAGAAAACUGGAACAUUUUCUGUUAAGAAGCUUCCCCUUCAGCUGCUUGGAAUGUGGAUAAAAUGGCUGGAGAUCUGCAUCUCUCUUAGCUAUGAGACAACUUUACAUCCUUGAUGGCAGAUGGGAAAGAUAGAAGGAUGCAAGGUUUCUGAUAAUUUUAGACCAAUUACACAAUUACGAGCUACCUUUACUCAUUUUACUUAUGUGAAAAACAGCCCUUAUGUAUUUACUAAUAGAUUUAGGAUUUUCUGUUACUUGCAGUCAAUACAAUCCUAAAUGAUUCACUUAUCAAUGAAACUAAAUGAUCUCAAUUGAUAAAUCAUUCAAGAACUUGGCCUUGGAUACAUGAGUCAAGUAGGUAGGUGAGUGAGGCUGUGGACAUAUGGAAAGAAAGCAUAUUAAUUAGUAUAUCAGAACUAGGAAGUUACAUUGAAUGCUCUCUUGACAUACACUAAUUCCCUCAACAUGAACUUAUUGUCCAGAUUGGUGGAAGCACAAUGUCUGUGAAGAAAACGAUUUAAAAAUAAAGGUGUAGUAAGUUAGAACCAGUUUAUAAAUAGUCUUCAAUGUCUAAGCUAAGAAGACUAAAUUUAAUUUCUUAUGGAUUAGACUCACUAAAGACUUUACAAAGUGAGAGAAAAAUAAUAAUAUUUAGAGCUGAAUACGUAAAACUUAAAAUCCUCUAAUGUAGUGAUUUUCGAAAUAUGCAAACCUCUGCCUUUAAUUCCUCGUGCUUUAAGCUCUCAGAACAGUUUCUCUUUUUCCAGUUGCAUCCUGACUUAUUCAUGGUCAAUGCCCUACCUUUUACUGAAGAGAACUGUUGAGGUUGUGAAUUUAACUUGCAUGGUAAUUUUGCAGGCUGCAGCCUGAAAGUUUGGGUCUGAUGUUUUAAUACAUCUGUCCUGAGGCUACAGAAGGUAAAAGAUUAUUCCAGUACAGGUAUAGGCAUUCUAGUGUUCUGAUCAUGCCUUGAGCUGAGAAUUUAAAAUCCUGAGCAUUUUCUUUCUUUAAUCUCCACGUAGACAUCUUCACCCACAGUCCUUGUGCUCAUCGCUUCCUUGUCAUUCUGUUCCAGGUCACUUGGACUCUCCAGCUUCACUUUCAUUAAGCUCUGAAUUCCAGGUGAGGACACAAGAAUGCUUAUUCAGAUGACUUUAACAUACAGAAGGCAGUGGAGAAAACAAUGGCCAGAGCCAGAGCAAAACCCACAGAAAACUUGAGCAGGUUUGUCUUCUACUUUAAAAUGUGUUGCCUGACUUCCCUUUCCCUGACUGUAGAAAUUUAGUUUGUCUGAAUUUUCUACAAUAUAAGUUUGCGGCAUAGGAAUAAUUUCAUUACUUUUGAACGUGAGUCACUUUCACACUUAAUUUUUCAUAAAAAUGUUUUCCAGGGUUUAAAGAGAAUUAGAAUUUCUCAUGUUUGGACUGUCUUAUAGUAAAGAAGUGGAAAAUAGAAUUAACUGCAACGAAAUGCUAUGUUAUGCAUCACUUUAAAAUUAUUCAUUUUUUAUUUCUUUUAUUGAGCCGGAGUUUUUACUCAUGAUUGACCUUCAGAUGGUUCUGAAUAUUACUUUCUGCCACAGAACUGAGUAGCCUAGUGCCUGGCUUCUUAGGUUAUGAAACUACAAAUUGAAUUGACUUUCCUGAAGCUUAAGGCUGAGGUCACUGGAGUGUCUUUUAAUGGAGACUUACAAAUUGAAUAGUAAAACUUGCUAUGUGAAUGUUAAUAUCCGCCUGUAAUCAAAGUCCAUUUAUGCUUUGGAUCUGAUAAUUUUAGUGAUGGCUUUAUUAUAAGCUUAUUUUAGCAGGUGACUAAUCCAGAAGAGGCAGUAGUUUUUGGCAAAUUCUGAUAUGUAAAAUAGUCAAGCAACCUAAAAGUUGCUAGUUGAUGUCAUACUAAGUUGAUGGUUGAUAAACCUCAUUGAAAAAUAUCAAGGCAAUCAGUCAAUAAACAUGUUAUGUUUUGAAUGACGUACUGGGAACACAACGAUGGUUAUGUAUGAUUGUCUAUAUAUCACCAAUAUCAUGUUCCUAAACACAAUGGCAGUAGACAAAGUUGUGCCAUUCAAUGGCACCUUCCCUCACGUAGCAUAAAAUCUAUUCUAAGAGACAAAACAAGGAAAUAGUUAAAUGCAUAAAAAUGGGAGAAGGCCAUGAUAGGUGGGAAUAUUUCAAAUGAUUUUUUUUUUUUUAGACAGGCCGAUAAUUUGGCCAAAAAGCAGGGCAAAAUUUGAAUUCCUUGAUAGGAAAAGCGAGGUCAAUCGAAGGAGAUGAAAUAGAAUCAGGAAGUGCACAAACGGAAGUGUAAACAUUAUAUGCCACAGGACAGAAAGAGCAAAAGCCAGAGCGGAGUAGACCAUGCCUGGUGGGGUGUGGUGGGGAACAAGGCUAAAGACAUAGACUGAUGAAGGACUUAAUAGAACUGAAUAUUAUACCCAGUAGAGAAUCAAUACUGUGUAUGUUCUUGAGCAAUAAAAUUAGAUAAUGACAUCAUUCUUCUGCAAAGAUUAAUCAUACUGAUGCACUAAAACGAUUGAAAGGGAAGAGAGGUGAGAGUUGGAGAAAAUAGUUUCAGAUUUCCAACUGAACUACUUCUGAGACAAAGAAUGGAGAGAAAUGUAUAAACAUGAGAGACAUUUUGAAGGAAGUCACAUUGAGCAUUAUGACUUAGCUAAAGAGAAUGGAAGUGAAAACGCAGCCGUAUGCCAACCUUACAAACGGCCAAAUAUCUCUAAUGAGUAAUAAAAUGCUCAGUGUGUUUAUUUAGCUUUGCCACCUUGAAUUUAUUCAUUAAAAGAUGAUGUAUCAAUGUCAAGCCCAUAUGUAGGAGGCUAGCAAAUAACAGGAGAGUGCCCUCACCUGACACUACUCUCAGACCAUGGAAUGCAUACCCAUGGUGUUUUACAGAAUGCCCUUCAUGACUGCAAAACAGAGAUUAAAUCAUUUUCAUUAUGAUAGAAAGCAUUGCAGUUUCCCAACGUUGAUUCUUUUUCCCUUUUGCAAAACCCCUUCCUUCUUUGAGUUUCAUACCAUAUUUCACCCCUCCUCAUAGCUGUCAUUUUCUAAUCUUCUAUUACCCUCAAAAACGUGUUGAAGCAUAGAUACCAUAGUCAUUGCUUCUUCUAUGUACUGAGAUCUGACAAGAGGAAGAGCUGCUGCCCCUCGGAUGUCUUGAAAUCCCGUAUACCCCGGUAUAAUCACAGUCUCUCAUUCUUUCAGUCUUUCUCACACCUAUAUUCCUCCUGACACUAAACAUUUCUCAGUGACUACCAGAUGCUUUUGCCUUUACCAAAACACUUAUAAACUACUUAUAUAUUCAACUUCCUCACAAACCUCCCUUGGUACCAACAAAACAAAACUUUCAUCCUGAAUGAAUGCCAAAAUCUACCAUUCCUCCUUACCUAUUUUAGACAUAGUAUGAGAAUAUCCAUGAUUGUUAGCCACAGUGGGUUCUUCAAAUUCAAGAACAGGUCUAGAGUUAAAAAGUAAAGACAAAUGUCUUUCACUUUUGUUAUCUCAAGCCACUGGCAGAGGGG